GACUUGGUAGCCCAGUUGGUAAAGGCACAACUUUAAGUAUAGUGUCUUAGCUUCUAGCUAAGUUCUCUAGUUCAAAUCCUGCCCAGGUUG